CUGUCCUUAGCUCAGCUGGAUAGAGCACAGGCCUUCUAAGCCUGCGGUCAGAGGUUCGAAUCCUCUAGGACAGGCCA
rnacentral:tRNA from 2 species